UACGGCCAAAACACAUUGAAACACUGGUUCUCUUACACUUACCGAAGUUAAGCAACGUCGAGCCUGGUCAGUACCUAGAUGGGUGACCGCUUGGGAAUACCAGGUGCUGUCAG